UAAGCCAUGCAUGCCUUCGAAUAAGUUGUGUGUAAGCAUUAUCAUCUGAAUCUGCGAACGGCUCCGCACACCAGUUACGAUCCAUUACAGGAAAGCCUUGGGAGAGGAAUACUAAACCGCUCCUAUCCCUUGGCUGCCACGGAUAAUUGCGGUAAUUCUGAAACUAAUACGAGAACGUACACCCUUGGUUGACCGGGAAACUGGGAAGCCGGGGGUCGCGCGAGGCACUAACCGCUAAAACCUGCGAAUGAAUACGCGCGCGAUCAGACCGUUACAAAACACGAUCUUGGGCCACGCACUUAGUACCCGCAAGGGGAAAGGCCGGCCCUCGUUCGAGCGGUGCCAGUAGCGCGUUUCUGACCUAUCAACUAGACUGCAUUAUCAUGGACUGUAAUGGUGACAACGGGUACAGAGGAUAAGGGUUCGAUCCUGGAGAGUGGGCCUGAGAGAUUGCUCACACUUCUAAGGAAGGCAGCAGGCGCGCAAAGUUCCCCUUGGGCAAAGCCCGAGGGCGUGAAGGGACAUAUGAAUGCCUGCCUAUGGUGGGCAAUUCAAAUGGGACUGUUUUAAACACCCUA
rnacentral:rRNA from 1 species